AGCGGCCACGGUAAUUCCAGCUCCAAUAGCGUAUAUUAAAGUUGUUGCAGUUAAAAAGCUCGUAGUUGAAUUUCGGGAUCAAUAUGUCGGUCGUGCCUUCGGUACGUACUGGUAUCAUUGGUCUCUCCUUUCUGACGAACCAUGAUGUCAUUAAUUUGGUGUUAUGGGGAGUUAGGACUGUUACUUUGAAAAAUUAGAGUGUUUAAAGCAGGCUCACGCUUGAAUACAUUAGCAUGGAAUAAUGAAAUAGGACGUUUGAUUCUAUUUUGUUGGUUUCUAGGAUCGACGUAAUGAUUAAUAGGGAUAGUUGGGGGCAUUAGUAUUCAAUUGUCAGAGGUGAAAUUCUUGGAUUUAUUGAAGACUAACUACUGCGAAAGCAUUUGCCAAGGAUGUUUUCAUUAAUCAAGAACGAAAGUUAGGGGAUCGAAGACGAUCAGAUACCGUCGUAGU
rnacentral:rRNA from 1 species